AUUUGAAGAAACAGCGCCUGGGAUUUGUGCAGGGCAGUUCUUGUCCUACAACCGAAAGGAGAGGAUGGAAAAAUAGCCUUUAAUUGCCGGUCCCCUACAUUUGCCGCCUGCGUCCAGAGCUCAGUCUCUAUCUAAACUUGUUUCACUAAAACCUAAAGAAGAUUUUUGCUUAUUCCGCCCUCCAGAGAGCUGGCUUUUCACGUGCCGACCUAGAGGCAAAUCCCAGCAACCCCAAAGUCCUUCUGCAAAGGGAUUGGAUGGGGGCGGGGUUUUAAACAAGACCAUCUCCUUACACAAGUGAUGUGCGCAGCGCAGGUGAAAGGUGUCACAGCCAUGGACGUGGUGGUAAAGGGUCUUCUCUAUCAGGUCCUGGGGCUCGUAACCUGUUAGCUCAGCUACCCUGCAAGAGACAUAAGCAGCAAAUAUGAGUGGGUGAGAGGAGGCCUGGGGAAGAAGGGACGGGCGAAGGGAAUAGAUUUGGAAAUAACUCCAGCUCUACCUGGAAUCUAAGAAUAUGAGCUUCAUGUCUAGGCUGGCCCGAAACAUGAACAUAUUGCUGUGGAGCUUGAUCUCCGUCACAGCGCUGGGCGGCAGCGAGUGGCCCACGGCGACCAAGCCGACGUUUUGGUAGCAGCCGUCGAAGGGGGACAUGUCCAGGCUGUACUGGCGGAUCUUCAGCAGGUGUUCUUGGUCUACGGUACAUCGUGACACAACGUCUCCUUGGGUUAUGGGUACAACCCUCUCCUCGGCGUUGUGUGGCUGACAAAGCAGCGAGGAGUUACGAGACAGCGCAGGGCUCUCCUUACUGAGGAGCCCCGAGCAGAACCAUGUGAAGAACCUUCUCAAAACCCUUGACUGGGAGAGCUACCUCUGCAGCUGACGAAUUACCUAAUUAAGAAAUAAAUUAACCCAGGGCUCCGGUUGUGUCGCCUGAAAGCUGUCACAGAGAACAUCAGCGGUUGUGUGAGGUUCAGUUCAAAGAGUAAAAUAAAAAUUUUAAAAAAAAAUUAAAAAAUAAAAAAUAUUAAAAGGUCCACAAACAAA